AAUGUAGUCAAAUCGAUUAUUUUAAAUUAAAAUCUUUGUAACCAUCGAUUAGGGUAAAGUCUUUUGUCGAUUUGAUCAAUAAGCACACCUCUAAAAGAAGUGUUUAGUUCGGCGGCGGCGGCGCUUGCACCUUCCCGCAUUCCCGCCAAUUGUUCACACGCUUUCCGCAAGACAUAAUAGAAAAUUGUUUGUAAAGUUUUUGAUUGCUGUUGUUAGUGUGUUUUUACCAGCGGGUGACAAAAGAAAAUUUUUGUGUGCUUAACCUAACCUCAAAAUCAAAGUUACUACUAGUAGGGCCCCUUCAGCACACAACCAUUUUUUAAGGAAAAUUCCCGGAUUUUCAAGGGUAAACAGAAAAGCAGAAGAAAUUGUGAAAACACCCCCGUUUUUAAGGUUUAUUUUAAAAUUAACAUUUUCAAAGAUUUUACGUUUUUCUGUUGGGCUACUGUAACACACAUUGGAAUACGAUUCCGGCCAAACAAAUUCAAGUAUUUAAAAUUAAAAAUCAAAUAUUGUCACAGAUUGAACAAAUGAAUUAUAUUAGAAUUAACUAAAAUUGCAGUUAUCAAAAAGGAUUUGUGUUCUUGACAUAAAUAAACCUAUGAAUAAUUUA